UGGGGAAUUUUGGACAAUGGGGGAAACCCUGAUCCAGCCAUCCCGCGUGUGCGAUGAAGGCCUUCGGGUUGUAAAGCACUUUUGGCAGGAAAGAAACGUCGCGGGUUAAUACCCCGCGGAACUGACGGUACCUGCAGAAUAAGCACCGGCUAACUACGUGCCAGCAGCCGCGGUAAUACGUAGGGUGCAAGCGUUAAUCGGAAUUACUGGGCGUAAAGCGUGCGCAGGCGGUUCGGAAAGAAAGAUGUGAAAUCCCAGAGCUUAACUUUGGAACUGCAUUUUUAACUACCGGGCUAGAGUGUGUCAGAGGGAGGUGGAAUUCCGCGUGUAGCAGUGAAAUGCGUAGAUAUGCGGAGGAACACCGAUGGCGAAGGCAGCCUCCUGGGAUAACACUGACGCUCAUGCACGAAAGCGUGGGGAGCAAACAGGAUUAGAUACCCUGGUAGUCCACGCCCUAAACGAUGUCAACUAGCUGUUGGGGUCUUCGGACCUUGGUAGCGCAGCUAACGCGUGAAGUUGACCGCCUGGGGAGUACGGUCGCAAGAUUAAAACUCAAAUGAA
rnacentral:rRNA from 1 species